UACAGAGGUCUCAAGCGUUGUUCGGAUUCAUUGGGCGUAAAGGGUGCGUAGGCGGCGCGGUAAGUCGGGUGUGAAAUCUCGGGGCUUAACUCCGAAACUGCAUUCGAUACUGCCGUGCUUGAGGACUGGAGACGAGACUGGAAUUUACGGUGUAGCGGUGAAAUGCGUAGAUAUCGUAAGGAAGACCAGUGGCGAAGGCGGGUCUCUGGACAGUUCCUGACGCUGAGGCACGAAGGCCAGGGGAGCAAACGGG
rnacentral:rRNA from 1 species